CGUGAUCCCAGUCGAGAUGCCUACAAUGUCAGCUACGCUUGGAAACUGGUUCAGGACACUUUGUUUAUAUUGUGUAUAGUUUAUGUUCAGCCGGAGAUCCCGGUAAAGCAACU